CUGGAAUCGCUAGUAAUCGCGGAUCAGCACGCCGCGGUGAAUACGUUCCCGGGCCUUGUACACACCGCCCGUCACACCACGGAAGUUGGGAGUACCCAAAGUAGGUUGCCUAACCGCAAGGAGGGCGCUUCCUAAGGUAAGACCGAUGACUGGGGUGAAGUCGUAACAAGGUAUC
rnacentral:rRNA from 1 species